AGAGUUUGAUCCUGGCUCAGAACGAACGCUGGCGGCAGGCUUAACACAUGCAAGUCGAGCGCCCCGCAAGGGGAGCGGCAGACGGGUGAGUAACGCGUGGGAAUCUACCCUUUUCUACGGAAUAACGCAGGGAAACUUGUGCUAAUACCGUAUACGCCCUUCGGGGGAAAGAUUUAUCGGGAAAGGAUGAGCCCGCGUUGGAUUAGCUAGUUGGUGGGGUAAAGGCCUACCAAGGCGACGAUCCAUAGCUGGUCUGAGAGGAUGAUCAGCCACAUUGGGACUGAGACACGGCCCAAACUCCUACGGGAGGCAGCAGUGGAGAAUAUUGGACAAUGGGCGCAAGCCUGAUCCAGCCAUGCCGCGUGAGUGAUGAAGGCCCUAGGGUUGUAAAGCUCUUUCACCGGUGAAGAUAAUGACGGUAACCGGAGAAGAAGCCCCGGCUAACUUCGUGCCAGCAGCCGCGGUAAUACGAAGGGGGCUAGCGUUGUUCGGAAUUACUGGGCGUAAAGCGCACGUAGGCGGACAUUUAAGUCAGGGGUGAAAUCCCGGGGCUCAACCCCGGAACUGCCUUUGAUACUGGGUGUCUAGAGUAUGGAAGAGGUGAGUGGAAUUCCGAGUGUAGAGGUGAAAUUCGUAGAUAUUCGGAGGAACACCAGUGGCGAAGGCGGCUCACUGGUCCAUUACUGACGCUGAGGUGCGAAAGCGUGGGGAGCAAACAGGAUUAGAUACC
rnacentral:rRNA from 1 species